rnacentral:misc_RNA from 1 species
AAGUUUAAGAGAAGUUUAUGUAUUAAAUUAUUGAUAUUAAAUAGUUUUAUUAGGCUUAGACUUAAUUUUAGGUCAUUUUGGGGGUUUAGCUCAGUUGGCUAGAGCAUCGGCUUUGCAAGCCGAGGGUCAAGGGUUCGAGUCCCUUAACCUCCAUUGGGCUUAUGCCCUAAAUUGUAAUUAAGUAUGUUUUUAAGUAACUUUGUUAAAGUAAUUGUUGGAAUGUGAAACACAAGAAGUUAAAAUUUCUGGGUUAAGUUGAGAUCUGUUGAUAUUAAGAAAAAUGUCUAGAAGCAAAAGCAAGCUUUCGAUAAAACCCGAAGUUGUUUCGCUAAAGUSCAAGGAUUAAACAGGAUUGUAUUUUUCASCAGCCUAUUUUAUAAACGAUCUGCAUUUAGUAAAUAGUUUUUAGUUAGGAAAUAAUGUAGAUUACUAAGUGUGAUGUCUGAGAGAAGGACAAGUAUUGUAGCGAGCUUAAAUCCUUAUUAUCGUYSCCAGUAUUUAGUGGUAGGGAUUSGGAUAAGAUYSCCAGUUAUAAGUUGGAGGAAGGCAAAGAUUGCAUUAAAUCGUUAUCGCUCUUAUGUUUUAGGUUACAAGUUUGCAACAAUAACUCAAAAAAGCCAAGCAAAAUACUAUAAAGCAGAUUUCAGUUUGGAUUUGCCCGACACUCAAUGGCAUGAAGUUGUAAUUGUUAGUAAUCGUG